GAUGAACGCUGGCGGCGUGCUUAACACAUGCAAGUCGAACGAGAAGUGGAGACGGAAACCUUCGGGCGGAAGACUUUAUUUCGAGUGGCGGACGGGUGAGUAACGCGUGGGUAACCUGCCUCAUACAGGGGGAUAACAGUUGGAAACGACUGUUAAUACCGCAUAAGACCACAGCACCGCAUGGUGCGGGGGUAAAAACUCCGGUGGUAUGAGAUGGACCCGCGUUCGAUUAGCCAGUUGGCGGGGUAACGGCCCACCAAAGCGACGAUCGAUAGCCGAUCUGAGAGGAUGACCGGCCACAUUGGGACUGAGACACGGCCCAAACUCCUACGGGAGGCAGCAGUGGGGAAUAUUGAACAAUGGGGGAAACCCUGAUGCAGCGACGCCGCGUGAGUGAAGAAGUAUUUCGGUAUGUAAAGCUCUAUCAGCAGGGAAGAAAAUGACGGUACCUGAGUAAGAAGCCCCGGCUAACUACGUG
rnacentral:rRNA from 1 species